rnacentral:misc_RNA from 1 species
GCUUAAAGCUAGGCGUGUUGC